rnacentral:rRNA from 1 species
GUGGGGAAUUUUGGACAAUGGGCGAAAGCCUGAUCCAGCAAUGCCGCGUGUGUGAAGAAGGCCUUCGGGUUGUAAAGCACUUUUGGCAGGGAAGAAACAGUGCGUGCUAAUACCAUGCGCGAAUGACGGUACCUGCAGAAUAAGCACCGGCUAACUACGUGCCAGCAGCCGCGGUAAUACGUAGGGUGCAAGCGUUAAUCGGAAUUACUGGGCGUAAAGCGUGCGCAGGCGGCUUUGUAAGACGGAUGUGAAAGCCCCGGGCUCAACCUGGGAAGUGCAUUCGUGACUGCAAGGCUAGAGUGUGGCAGAGGGAGGUGGAAUUCCGCGUGUAGCAGUGAAAUGCGUAGAGAUGCGGAGGAACACCGAUGGCGAAGGCAGCCUCCUGGGAUAACACUGACGCUCAGGCACGAAAGCGUGGGGAGCAAACAGGAUUAGAAACCCCUGUAGUCC